CUGCACUACUUUUUGCAUAGUGUAACCGUGAGGUCAUUGUGAGGUUAAUUUAUUUCUCAUAAAGAUGAGCCCUUAGCAGAACACCACUGGCACAGAGGAACAGAAGUAACUGCUACUGCAGCAAUCCCCUGGACUGAAGAACAGAUUAUUUCUUCCUUCAGGGGCAGAAUAUCCAAGUUAAUCUGAAUAUUGGUGUAGAAGAAAAUGCAAGUCACAUCUUGAAGCAGUGUUUGCGCACCUACUACGAAGGCAGGGCCAACCCAGGGGAGCUCAUGCAAUGCACCAGAGAGACUGGAAGUGGUGGAGCCAGGAUCCACCUCUUCCCAGACCUCACUGAAGGGCUGGCAGUGAAGGCAAGAGUAUCUCACUGGAGAUCCCUUCCUACCCGUGGCCCUCUGAAGGUGUGGAAGUUGUGAUGGGUCACAUCAAGCUUCUCCAACUGGAAAGAGAAGACAGGCUUGUCACUACAUGCCACUGUAUUUUAUGAUCAACAGAAGAGCACCUGAAAUCCCAUCAGCAUAUCUUCAAAGGAUCCAGCUGUUCCUGUCCUCUUUAUUAAGG
ensembl:lncRNA